CAGUCGCCACGGUAAUACGAAGGGUGCAAGCGUUAAUCGGAAUUACUGGGCGUAAAGCGUGCGUAGGCGGUUUGUUAAGUCUGUUGUGAAAUCCCCGGGCUCAACCUGGGAAUGGCAAUGGAUACUGGCAAGCUAGAGUGUGUCAGAGGGUGGUGGAAUUCCCGGUGUAGCGGUGAAAUGCGUAGAGAUCGGGAGGAACAUCAGUGGCGAAGGCGGCCAUCUGGGACAACACUGACGCUGAGGCACGAAAGCGUGGGGAGCAAACAGGAUUAGAGACCCGCGUAGUCCCUGUCUCUUAUAC
rnacentral:rRNA from 1 species